rnacentral:ncRNA from 2 species
GGCCGUUUCACGCCUUUGGGUGCCGUUGGCUUGAUAGGGAAUCCCGUGCAACCCGGGAGCGGACCCGCCGCCGUAAGCCCUUGAUGCGUCUGCCUCUUUCAUGUGCCACUGGGAGCGAUCCUGGGAAGGCCGGGGCAGGUGGGGCGAGCCGGAAGACCUGCCUGAAGGUGUGCUGUUUC